rnacentral:rRNA from 1 species
CAUGCCAAUGGCACUGCCCGGUAGCUAAAUGCGGAAGAGAUAAGUGCUGAAAGCAUCUAAGCACGAAACUUGCCCCGAGAUGAGUUCUCCCUGAGACUUUAAGUCUCCUGAAGGAACGUUAAAGACGAUGACGUUGAUAGGUCGGGUGUGUAAGCGCAGCGAUGCGUUGAGCUAACCGAUACUAAUGAACCGUGAGGCUUAACCUU